GCGGAAGUAGCUCAGUUGGUAGAGCAUCAGCCUUCCAAGCUGAUUGUCGCGAGUUCGAUCCUCGUCUUCCGCUCCA
rnacentral:tRNA from 1 species